rnacentral:rRNA from 1 species
GAAUAUUGGACAAUGGGGGAAACCCUGAUCCAGCCAUGCCGCGUGAGUGAGGAAGGCCUUAGGGUUGUAAAGCUCUUUCACCCGUGACGAUGAUGACGGUAGCGGGAGAAGAAGCCCCGGCUAACUCCGUGCCAGCAGCCGCGGUAAGACGGAGGGGGCUAGCGUUGUUCGGAAUUACUGGGCGUAAAGCGGGCGUAGGCGGCCGGUCAAGUUAGGCGUGAAAGGCCUGGGCUCAACCUGGGAACGGCGCUUAAGACUGAUCGGCUGGAGUCCGGGAGAGGGUGGUGGAAUUCCCAGUGUAGAGGUGAAAUUCGUAGAUAUUGGGAGGAACACCGGUGGCGAAGGCGGCCACCUGGCCCGGCACUGACGCUGAGGCGCGAAAGCGUGGGGAGCAAACAGG